CUUCUCCUUCUUUCUUUUUUUUUCCUUUCUUUCUCCUUUUCUUUCUCCUUUUCUUUGUUUUUGAAAAAAAAGGAAAGAAGAGAAUAG
rnacentral:ribozyme from 12 species